AUUGAACGCUGGCGGCAGGCCUAACACAUGCAAGUCGAACGCAGUGGGGACGGGUGAGUAACACGUGGGUAACCUCCCAUCAGAGGGGAUAACCCUUGGAAACAGGUGCUAAACCGAUAUUGGUGGAUGGACCUGCGGUGCAUUAGCUAGUGGGUGGGGUAACGGCCAACCAAGGCCACGAUGCAUAGCCGGCCUGAGAGGGUGAUCGGCCACACUGGAACUGAGACACGGCCCAGACUCCUACGGGAGGCAGCAGUAGGGAAUCUUCGGCAAUGGACGAAAGUCUGACCGAGCAACGCCGCGUGAGUGAAGAAGGUUUUCGGAUCGUAAAGCUCUGUUGUUAGAGAGGCGGUAUCUAACCAGAAAGCAACGGCUAACUACGUGCCAGCAGCCGCGGUAAUAC
rnacentral:rRNA from 1 species